rnacentral:misc_RNA from 1 species
UAGUCGUAACAAGGUAGCCGUAGGGGAACCUGCGGCUGGAUCACCUCCUUUCUAAGGAUUUUCGCGAAAGCGUCAGGGCUAGCCCCUGAAAGUGCUUCGUGAUUUCCAAAGAACAUCGCCGUCGUCCUCAUGUCCUUUCAUCAAUCGGAUGCAACAAGCCUUCUGGCUUGUUGUGUGCCUGAGCCGGCUCACGCCCCUCGCGGCAGCCUGUUCCUUCGGGAAUUGGCGGUCGGCGCUUGGUGGAAUGGGCCUGUAGCUCAGUCGGUUAGAGCGCACCCCUGAUAAGGGUGAGGUCAGAAGUUCGAAUCUUCUCAGGCCCACCAUUACCUCCAUGGGGCCUUAGCUCAGCUGGGAGAGCACCUGCUUUGCAAGCAGGGGGUCAUCGGUUCGAUCCCGAUAGGCUCCACCAGGUACAACCGUCCGAUAGAUGAAACGAAAGCGGAUCCCGCGUUAUGCGGGUCAGGCGAUCGCCAUAUUUCAUAUGGGAUUGUCGUUCUUUGACAUUGUGAAUGGGUUUUUAAAUCGAUGCCGUGGCGCAUGGAUUGUAUCGAACAAGCUUUGGCCUGUGCGAUCUUUCGUGCAUCACAAAUCAAUCAAAUUGAUUAUCUGGCUGAGAUAAUUCUCCCACCGUCUUUAAGCGCACAGGCUUUUAUGCAGGCCUGUCGUUGAUGGUGUGGAUUCUCA